rnacentral:lncRNA from 1 species
AGAGAGGGGAGCAGCCCCCGGGGCUGGGUCGGAAGAGUCUUCUGGGGCUCCAUUCCUCCACUCCGGGACUGAACCCCCAUAGAGCGAUUCCCAGCACCCCUCUGUGGCACUGAGCACAUCCAGGCUGCUGCCAGGGUGUGGUCCUUGGGUUUUCGAAUCUUUAUCGCCUGAAGCCUCGCCGUCUGACCGGCUCCGGGAUAGCCCAGGCCUUCAGCCUCCCAAACCAACCCUUACCCAAAGCCCGACUGAGGGAUCCCUACCUGGGGACCUUCAGCAAAUGUCCUUAGUGAGGGUAGCAGCUAAGCUGUCUUCUCUGCAGUAAGUCAUGUCUCCAGCUAUCAAUGCCUUUGUGGCUCUGGUCCCUAUAGGAAUUUAACCAGAACUACACCAUAUAGACUUAAUUAGUAAGGCCAAAGUCACACUGAUGUUGAAUCCAAAAAUUCACUUAAAAAGUAAUUAUUUAGAGACAGGAUUUCACUAUAUUCUUGAAAACUAGGGAAUACGGUACCUGCACAUAAGCUAGGAGAGCACUGCACUCAGCCCCUCUCCCCGUGGGACUCUGGAUUGCUCCUUUUGUGUGUGUGCUCAGGCGCCCACUACAAAUCUUUACUCAUAAGCUCUGUUUGGCCUAGAAGGGGCUAGAUGCUAAAUGAGUAGGGUUGAAAGAGAUGCUAUUUGAAUAAGUAAGAGGACCACUGACACAGGCACGUCCACACUACUCACACUAGAAUGUGAGCUUCCACUUUAUGUACACACAGGAUAAGUUACUUAUAGGAAUCCAUUUCUCCACCACAUGUGAUAGUACCAUAUUUUUUCCACUGUAAACACAAUCUCAAAACACAAACCUAAAACCUAAAGUACUCAUCCGUCCCCUGUCUCUCUCACCACCAACGCAGGCCCGGCUUGUGGCCCUUUGAGCAGAAGAGCCAAGGCUGAAAAUGCAGCUGUCGACCAUUAAAAACCAGAGCUCACUCUUGAUUUUUCUCCAUCAGCAAAGCUGUCACUGAGCCUCACAAUCGGCACCAAAAACGUGGGAUGAAUUAGCGAGGCAGAAGACUAAUGAGCAUAGGCCUUUUAUAGAUGGGCAUGAGGCUGUGUUACUGACAAAGGUAGGGUUCUCUAAAAACUCGGGGCAGCCAUUUAUUUACAAACAUUGUAAACAGUACAAGAUACUUGAGAGGUUUAAACAGUUAAUGUGAGAAAAAUACCAACAGGUCAUGACACUAAAUUCAACUGUUCCUGAUGUGAGGCGGAGCUCUAGAAACUGAACUCCAACUCUGGUUCAGUCGUCUUCCUACUGCUGUUCAUCCCAUUUCAUCCUUUCGAACCAGAAAAGACUUGAGAAACCUCCCCACAGCAGCUCUAGGAUGAACUGAAGUCUGCACAGUCCAGUCAGAUCUUCACAAGGAACUGGCUUCUAUCCAGCUUCCCCCUCUCUUUAAGAAUCCUGAGGAUUCACUACAAUACAGGACAAACACCUAUCCAGCUAUGUGGUACAAGAAGAAGGCAAGAGACCUGGGCCAGCUAUCCAAUCACUCUGCCCUUCGGGGUGCUCCUGAGGAAGACAAGACAUCUCUCACCGCACACUACACUGCUAGUGCCUGAUUAACUCCCUGUCCUUAAACUUCCUGAGAGCAGGGUUGGAAGGAUAGGAGGGCAGGGACAGACUGACUGUCCAAUGCCUGGUUGAGGGCCUGGCAAGAAGGUCUUCUGCAAAUAAUGAAUGGCAGGCCCACGGAAGUGACUGUUGAGGUGUGGGAUCUAAUACACGUGUUUAUUCAAUCAAUGCUUAUGGGUUUCUUUUGUUAAGAUAGUCUCACCAUAAAGUCCAGGCUGGCUUUCACCUUGAGAUCAUUCUGCCUCAGCCUCCCAAUGCUAGAUUUGCAUGGAUUAGCAUGACAUUUUUGGAAGGAGUUUUCUCCACUAAGGUUCAGUCAACUCGUAGAAUACCUAGUAUUUUUCAUAUAAAAUCCAGGAA